AUGUACCACUCGUACACUGCGGUUCCUCAGCGCCGUCCGCACCCACCUGGCGACUGCUCGCUACGUUUCGUUCGCC
rnacentral:sRNA from 1 species